rnacentral:rRNA from 1 species
GCCAGCAGCCAUAUCACCCUGCAGCUCUCGACUCAGCAGGGUUGAGCCUGGUCAGUACCUGGAUGGGAGAUCCCCUGGGAAGCUAUGGUUGCUGCUGAAA